CCAGAAUCAAACCCGGGACCCUUGAGUCCGCAGGCCGAUGCUCUAUCCACCGAGCCAAACCGGUUAGGGCUGCAUGUCAUUAUUGUCUCUUCUAAAGUCUCAAAAGAAGCUAAAGACAUAACUUGAUGAGUAUUUUCUAGCUUCUUUGUAAAAUGGGACCUCCAUUUUCAGAAGGAACUUUAAAGAGACAGCCUUCUAAAAAGGCUUGAGUUUGAGAACAAAAAAUAAAUCUGAUAUUUAUCAUUUAAAAUUUUUGUUUGUUGUAGAUCUGGGUCUGCAAACAGAAUUCUCUUCUUGCCCUGUGUUAUUGUUCUUAAGAAGAAGCCAGUUAAGGAUAAAAUUACACCCACAUCGUUUUCAAAUGAUUAUGAUGCCAUUUUUUCUUCAAAAGUUUCCUUCCUCCACUUUCCCCUUCCCAUCCUAUCUUAGUUUUUAUAUACCACAUAUACCAUUGACAACAGGAAAUUCUAGUUGAAAACAGAAUUUUUGGUUUCACUUCACUUCAUAUUUGCAAAUAGAUACACGAACACUGCACAAGUUCAGGGAUGUUUGUAAAACUAUAUAUGUUAUUUGCUAAAUUAGAUCAGAUUUCUUUCAAGGUAGAUGAUGAAAUUUUAGAAUCAGCAAAUAUUUACUAAGUCUCCAAAUUUGCAUGGGACUAUUCAGGUAUAUUACAUAUAUCAGGGGUCAUAUGGCCAUCAGAAUAAAAUAGCUUUAAAAAUAUUUUUCACACUCUCCAUUUUGCCACCUCCUUUAAAAUCCAGUUUUACUUUAUUGUGUUCAGCUGUUUGAAAUGCAGGACAAAUGAUAAAUAAGAGUGCCCUUCUUUAUCUCUGUAAAAUCUAUUUUGAAAGCAUAGAAUUUUUAAGUAUAUUAUAUAAUGCAUUUUACUUUUACAUGUUUGUCAUAAUCUAGAUGACAUCUCAAGCAGCAGCAUCAUAGAGUCAUGCCUGAGAAAUGAGGAUGUUUGACUUCAAUGCCUAUCACCCUGUAGGGUUGGUCUCUGGGGCUGACAGGCUGAUUCAUUUGACUAAAGGGGGUCCCUUUCUUCCCUGCCCUUGCAGCUGUACCCCCAGCUGAAGAAGAUGGCCUUCCCUGAGAGAGGAAACCAUGCCACCACCUUGAGGCCUUCGCUUUCUACAAACUCAGCCUUGAAGACAAAAGGUUUCUAAAAGGAUUCCAUUUUGGCCUUUUCAAACCAGCUCAGAGGCAGACAGAAGAUUUAACAGUGACCAAAUAUCCUUGUGUCAGGUUAAUUUUUUACUUUUACUUUUUAAUUCAUUUAAUGUUGAUAAUGGAGGGAAAAGAGAAUAAAGGAUAAUGCAGGAAUAAAGGAAGAAAGAAACAUUUUUUCCACUGCUUGCUAGAUUAAUUCUUAGGCUACCCUGACUCCAGCCAUCAUACACAUCCUAAACAGCUCUAUUUAGUGAGCUAGAGGGAUUUUCUCAGGAUGUGUAAAUUUCCACACAGGGACUGCGAUGUGGUUUCAAAGUAUUAGUAUAUUCUGCCAAGCAUUGCUUGUUCAUAACUCCACAUUACCUGCUAAGUUAAGAAAAAGAAUCUAUAAAUUUGGCCAGUUCUGUGCAUGUAGCUGAACAAAAUUUUGAUUAAUUUCUGUUCUGUAGUUGGCUAUGGUUUUGGUUGUGUGAGAUAUUUGUCCCCUACGGUCUUGAAUAUAAAAUUCUGUACAACUAUUAAUUUUUUUUUGCUGAAAAACAUAUGUAUUAAAUAAGAAUAAACUAUUUGUAAACAUAGUGUUUAGGACU